rnacentral:misc_RNA from 1 species
GUUGAAACUCUCCAUUUUAACACUUUUUUUUUUUCAAUUUUUUUUUCUAAAAAAAUCUAAUAAUUUGUAAGUGUGUGAUUUCUUCAGUUUCAUAAACCAUACACACAAACUCAGAUGUGAGUCCUACCUUGUUUUCUGUGUCUGGGGAGAGAGAUAGGCCAGGGAAAGAGAAAGGAUAUUCAGAUAACGAUAAUAACUACCUACGACAAGCACAAGCAUGUUUUUACUCAACAAUGGGAAUUCACGAGAGGAAGAAGAAGAAAAGGGUAAUUCAUUAGAAAAUUAAAAGGGAGCAAAAAGGGAAAGGGACAAACUUAAAAUUGUAAAAUUUGAUUAUAGUAGAGAGAUCCAAAAUAAAACUUUAGGAUAUAGCCACCCAAAAAGGUUCCCAAUUUAACAAUCCCUUGUUCUCUAGUUCACCUUCUUUGCAUCUGCUUGGUCUUUGGAACUCUUCCAUUCCCAUUUCAGCCCCAACAUUCAAAUGAUUUCCUUCCACCUCUUUUUCAAUGUACCCACCAUUUUCUUUCUCUUUUCCAGUGGAUGCCUCAUUUCCUUCCUCUACUUGUUCUUCAAAAUCAUCCUCCUCUUCCUCCUCCUCUUCUUCUUCAUCUUCUUCUUCCAUGUCUUCCCUUUCAUCCUGAUUCACGUCAUUUUCAAUCUCAUCUUUGUCAUUCUUGGCUUCAGUGAUUGCUUCAUUUUCUUCUGCGGAGGCUGCCUCUAUAGAGUCAAAAUUUGAAGCAGAAUCUUUGACAAAACACAAUCGAAGGCGGCCAUGGCUUCUUUCAGCUUGAAAAUAAGCAUGGGUUGAUGGGGCCCUGACGGCCUUGAUUAUCAACCUCCCAUCUUCUCGAUGGGGCCUAACUCGAAGGGAUUCCGAUCCACUCAUCGUUGUCAAGGGAGGUGGAAAACUACGAGAAUUCGCUUUCCUAGCUCCCAAAAGUUGACGAGGCUUUUGUUGCUCCUUUGUUGGUGAAUUUCCUGCUUCUGACUCGAAUGAAGACAGUGAGAAAAUGCUCUUCUCGAAAGAAUCAGUGCCAGAUUCGCUACCUAAGUUCUCAGUACAUAAUUCCAGGCUCUUCUCGCUAAGUGUUGGGGGGUAACGCUUAAUUAGAGGAUGUACAUAUGUAUUCUCUUUCUCCAUUGAUUCUUUAGAACACUGAGAGGCGUUGGAUAGAGCCUGAAGGAAGCUCCACCCACCCAUAUCAGGAUUUGGGAUUGAAGAUAUAUGCUUAUCUUCAUCGUGGCGUCUGUCGCCGAGUUCCUUAGUGUUGGAGUCCAAGGAAAAAGGUUUUAAGGCUAAUCCAAGGGAUUGAGAGAAGUGGGGUUUUGGUGAAGAUAAUCUGAGCCUCAGUGUCCUUGACUCUACAAGUUGAGACUCAAGACAAGACUGCAAACCUUGGCAAACUAUAGUUGACAUUAUAACAAGUUGUAAGAUACAAAUAUGACUAGUGAAAGGCAAAAAAACAGCAAAAGGCCCCCCACAAGAGUGUAUGGACGCAGAGGAAAAACAGAGGAAAAACAGAGGAGUGAAGCUUUGAGUUUAAAAUGAAGAGGAUUUUGUUGCCUGGAGAAAAAUAGAAGGAGAAGUAUAGGAGAAGAGAUUGAACAUGAAAGAUAAGUGAGGGUUAGGGUGCGAAUUUGUAGUCUCCAAAAAGUGCUGGAGGCAUAGUGUGGAGAGAGAGGUGGAGGGGAGCUUUUACACCACUUGAAAUAUUCAAUUCUUAAUCUGCCACACACUGAAAAGGAGAAUAAAGAAAUAAAAUAUGUGGGGAACUAAAGGAGAUCCUUAUUAUAAUAUUCUUGUUUUUGACUUAAAUUAAAAAAAAAAAAAUCAUCCCACUCAAUUUCUCAUAUGGGCAGAAAUUUGGUGGUCUGUUAAGAAUGUCCUCACAUGGGC